CAACUCCCGGGCAUGACAUGAAGCACUAGGGACCCCGCAGGGAACGAAACAGACAAGGUCCACGGGCUGAUGGAGCCGGGGUUACAGGCUGUGUGUGGGGAGCUGGAUGAGCAAAGAUGGGAGACAAAAAGGAAAGGAAAUCUGAAACUCUUCUGGGAGACCGAAUGGAGACUUACCCAGAUGGAGAAUGGAAGACACCAAGGCAGAGACUGUGGAGUAUGGGCAAGGAGAGUGUGGCUUACACUGUGAGCCAGGACCCAGGACCCUGACGCUCAGACCAUGCAAGAUACGGUGUACAGGGACCACGUUCCACUCAGAAGCCAGGUCCAGCCAAGCUGUACCGACAGUGCUAACUCGGCAGGAAUCACUGUAAAAACGAGAAUCAAUUACAAUGCCUUCCCCAUCAAAUUGUUUUAUUAGGUUAAUUAAACAGCUUAAAG
ensembl:lncRNA